CACAGCGAACUGCCUGGUGUCCCACUGAUGCAAAGCAGGGUUGAGCCUGGCCAGUACCUGGAUGGGAGACCUCCUGGGGAAAGCUAAGGUUGCUGCUG
rnacentral:rRNA from 1 species